CACAGGCGCCGCCUGUUGUACUGUCCGCUUUCUAGCCACAGGUGCUAGCCACAGCAACAAAUGCUUGGUCUUACACAUUGGCAGAACAAAUCAGAACACAAAAUUAAAGCUGGGCGGAUAUGACCUUGUAUACGACCCUCACUCUGUCAAGGAUCUUGGUAGUACAGGGGUUUAAGGCACCCUGUUAUUAAGCUGGUUAUUAAGACCAGCUGCCUGCAAUUACUGCAGGGUUCGAAUCUCGCCAAGGCUCAAGGUUGACUCAGCCUUCCAUCCUUUCUAAGCACUAAAUGUGGCUGCCCUGAAGAUCCAAAGAAAAAGAUGGGCUCCAGGGCUGACAAAAUGAUCUCAGCCAUUGCUGACAACAUGGAGGGCAAAGCGGCCAAGUGGGUGGCACAACUUGUGGCCCAGCAUUCGAAAUUCUGAAGAAACGGUUCACUGAGGAACUGCAGAGUUCCUUCUCAGCUGAGUGGGGGCAGCCUGUCAGCACCUGAAACCAUUUCGGAAAUCUUCAGGACUGCCACAGCAAGGCUGGUUGCUGCUGUGGGAAUGUGAGGGGGAGGUAGAGAUAACUGCGGGAAAUUGUAGCCAUAACAACAUUCUUUUCCAUGGGAACCAAGGACGUCCCCACCAGGUGUUGUGAAGGCGUGGACCAAAGACAGCCAAAGGAGGACUGUGACCUGAUUGGACCAUAUGAUGGAUGUGUGACCUGAGAGCAAGAACUUUGGGUUUUGAUUUGGGUGGGGAAAACCUCGUGUCCUUCAGAAUCUGGUUUUCACCAGCUGUGCCAAUAUGACAUUCCUAAUAAAAAAUUACUUUGAGGA